GACGGUACUUGAUGAAUAAGCCACGGCUAAUUCCGUGCCAGCAGCCGCGGUAAUACGGGAGUGGCAAGCGUUAUCCGGAAUUAUUGGGCGUAAAGCGUCCGCAGGCGGUCUUACAAGUCUGUCGUUAAAGCGUGGAGCUUAACUCCAUUUCGGCGAUGGAAACUGUAAGACUAGAGUGUGGUAGGGGCAGAGGGAAUUCCCGGUGUAGCGGUGAAAUGCGUAGAUAUCGGGAAGAACACCAGUGGCGAAGGCGCUCUGCUGGGCCAUAACUGACGCUCAUGGACGAAAGCUAGGGGAGCGAAAGGGAUUAGAUACCCCUGUAGUCCUAGCCGUAAACGAUGAACACUAGGUGUCGGGGGAAUCGACCCCCUCGGUGUCGUAGCCAACGCGUUAAGUGUUCCGCCUGGGGAGUACGCACGCAAGUGUGAAACUCAAAGGAAUUGACGGGGGCCCGCACAAGCGGUGGAGUAUGUGGUUUAAUUCGAUGCAACGCGAAGAACCUUACCAGGGUUUGACAUCCUGCGAAUCCCUUGGAAACUUGGGAGUGCCUUCGGGAGCGCAGUGACAGGUGGUGCAUGGCUGUCGUCAGCUCGUGUCGUGAGAUGUUGGGUUAAGUCCCGCAACGAGCGCAACCCACGUCUUUAGUUGCCAGCAUUUAGUUGGGCACUCUAGAGAGACCGCCGGUGAUAAACCGGAGGAAGGUGUGGAUGACGUCAAGUCAUCAUGCCCCUUACAUCCUGGGCUACACACGUACUACAAUGCUACGGACAAAGGGCAGCAAACUCGCGAGAGCUAGCCAAUCCCAUAAACCGUGGCUCAGUUCAGAUCGUAGGCUGCAACUCGCCUACGUGAAGGAGGAAUCGCUAGUAAUCGCAGGUCAGCAUACUGCGGUGAAUACGUUCCCGGGCCUUGUACACACCGCCCGUCACACCAUGGAAGUUGGCCACGCCCGAAGUCGUUACUCCAACCCUUGUGGAGGAGGAUGC
rnacentral:rRNA from 1 species